UACACACCGCCCGUCAAGUCAUGGGAGCCGGUAGUGCCCGAAGUCGUCAUAUCUCAUUGAUGCCUACGGCAAGAUCGGUGACUGGGACU
rnacentral:rRNA from 1 species